AUGGACGUUUCUACUGUUGUGGCUGCUACUUGUGAUGUUGAUGUUGAGCUAGUACUACCACCACCUGCACCCAUUGAACCAGAUAUUCCUGAUUUUGUUCUGCAUCCUAAUGUUGGGAUAAUCCCUAAAACUGGUCACAGCGUUCUUAAUAGCUCUUUUGCGCCUAAAGACAUUGCUAUAGCAGUAGCAAAAUGGGGUGAAAGUCCUAAAAGAUUGAUAAGAGAAAUGGGGCUAGGUGUAGACACAAGGAGGAAAAGGUUGGUACUAGGGAAAAACCAUUUUGCUCAGAUCAAUGAGAGGUCAAUGUCUGGCAUUUUAGGGACAAGAGAAGGUGUCAAUGCAGGCGAUCAAAACGUAGAUCCUACGGUUUGGCCUAGGAUAUGUGAGUACAAUGCACCAAAGCUUUUUGCCCUUGUUGAGAAGGACACCAUGAACCGUACAUUAGAAAGAGUUUUUGGCAUGUUGAGGCCUGGUGUGAAAGGGCAUCUAGCCAAUCUUAAGAGGCAGAAGCGAACGGCAAGCAGAUCACAGCUUCGAACAGUUUUAAAUGAGCACCCAGCUACUGUCCGUCUAUCAGAUGCGGAUGAAGUCAUGCUAUCACUUCCAACAAACAAUGUAUCAUCUAGACUGACAGCGCCCACUAUGGCUGAAAGAUUUAAGCCAUGCACAGGCCCAAACAUUGGUGACAUGCCAAAAACCAGGCUCUCUGGAAUGGAAAGUCAGAUGAAAUUAAGAAGAUAG
rnacentral:rRNA from 1 species